UACGAAGGGGGCUAGCGUUGCUCGGAAUCACUGGGCGUAAAGCGCACGUAGGCGGACUCUUAAGUCAGGGGUGAAAUCCUGGAGCUCAACUCCAGAACUGCCUUUGAUACUGGGAGUCUUGAGUUCGGGAGAGGUGAGUGGAACUGCGAGUGUAGAGGUGAAAUUCGUAGAUAUUCGCAAGAACACCAGUGGCGAAGGCGGCUCACUGGCCCGAUACUGACGCUGA
rnacentral:rRNA from 1 species